rnacentral:rRNA from 1 species
GACGAACGCUGGCGGCGUGCUUAACACAUGCAAGUCGAACGGUGCAGGUGGGAGCUUGCUCCUGCUGGAUCAGUGGCGAACGGGUGAGUAACACGUGAGUAACCUGCCCUUGACUCUCGGAUAAGCGUUGGAAACGACGUCUAAUACCGGAUACGAGCUUCAGCCGCAUGGAUAGGCGUUGGAAAGAUUUUUCUGUUAAGGAUGGACUCGCGGCCGAUCAGCUUGUUGGUGAGGUAGUGGCUCACGAAGGCGAAGACGGGUAGCCGGCCUGAGAUGGAGAGCGGCCACACUGGGACUGAGAGACGGCCCAGAGUGCUACGGGAGGCAGGGGUGGGGAAUGGUGCACGAAGCGCGCCAGGCUAGAGGAGCGACGCCGCGUGGGGGACGACUGCCGUCGGGUUGUAAACCUCUUUAGGCAGGGAAGAAGUGCAAGUGACGGUACCUGCAGAAAAAGCACCGGCUAACUACGUGCCAGCGGCGGCCUCGG